UCCUUGGUGGCUCAGUGAUAAAGCAUCUGCCUGCCAAUGCAGGAGACACGGGUUCGAUCCCUGAUCUGGGAA
rnacentral:tRNA from 1 species